rnacentral:sRNA from 1 species
AUACAAGGAUCAAAUGCUAAGAUCGCGAUGUCAAUCGCAACGCAUUUGUGACCUGCUUCCUGCUGG